rnacentral:SRP_RNA from 1 species
GCCAGGUGUGGUGGCGCACACCUGUAAUCCCAGCUACUUAGGAGGCUGAGGCAGGAGAAUCACUUGAACCUGGGAGGAGGAGGUUGCAGUGAGCCGAGGUCGCGCCACUGCACUCUAGCCUGGGUGACACAGUGAGACUCCAUCUCAA